AUGGUAACGCCGCUUCCUCCUCAGGCCCCGCAGCGGCAGAGUUAUGAAGGAGAUGUUCACCAAUACAAGGAACCGGGAAUGUCUCCUUCUUCUCUCCUCCCUCACCAACUACAACCGGUGUAAGGAGCCGUGUAUACUGCAGGUGGUGUCACUGACCUCAGUGCCGAGUGAUGGCGCUCUACUCUCUGCAGCCACAAGGGCGUGAGGUGAAUGAGAUGACAUGAAUAUUAGAAGAAUACAGGACAUCUGUGAGGCUUUAUGAGACUUAAACCAGAAUGUUCUACACAGUGGGACCAGGCACCAUCAGGACGGCAGGGGAUCAGAGCAGGUUAUCUCCCAGUAAAGUGAUAUAA